CGGUAAUACGGAGGAUGCAAGCGUUAUCCGGAAUGAUUGGGCGUAAAGGGUCCGCAGGUGGCUAUGUAAGUCUGCUGUUAAAGAAUCUAGCUCAACUAGAUAAAAGCAGUGGAAACUACAAGGCUAGAGUGCGUUCGGGGUAGAGGGAAUUCCUGGUGUAGCGGUGAAAUGCGUAGAUAUCAGGAAGAACACCAGUGGCGAAGGCGCUCUACUAGGCCGCAACUGACACUGAGGGACGAAAGCUAGGGGAGCGAAUGGGAUUAGAUACCCCAGUAGUCCUAGCCGUAAACGAUGGAUACUAGGCGUGGCUCGUAUCGACCCGAGCCGUGCCGGAGCUAACGCGUUAAGUAUCCCGCCUGGGGAGUACGCACGCAAGUGUGAAACUC
rnacentral:rRNA from 1 species